rfam:Nematostella vectensis strain CH2 x CH6 NEMVEscaffold_2105_Cont40330, whole genome shotgun sequence.
GCACUGGUGGUUCAGUGUUAUAAUUCUCGGCUGCCACGCGGGAGGCACGGGUUCGAUUCCCGGCCAGUGCA